rnacentral:lncRNA from 1 species
UGUAGAUAUAUCGAUCGUCGUAAGAGUCUGACGCGUCGUCGGCAAUUGGGCCAUAAAUUUCUAAUGGAAUGUUGGGCCCAAGUCGUGGCGUCGGGGCUCGUACUACUAGCGAGCGCCGACGCACAAUUGGAGAGCUGAGAUUCUAGACUCCGAAGUUUUGAAACUGAGUUUGUAUUCCGAACAAGGGCGCACAGAGUUUACUGGUAGUACAAUCUCAUAUUGUCGGCAUUCCAAGUCCGACG